rnacentral:sRNA from 1 species
AGUAUUAAAAUUGAAGACACUCUUUUGUCAUGUGUGUCUUUAAAACAUUCGUAUCACAAAAAAUAAGAAUUUUUAACAUUAGAUAUAAUAAAAGUUAAGAAAAAACAGAGUGAAUAAGAGAAACUAUCUAUUUUGAAAGACAUAUUUUGCUUAUUUGAGACAUUUUACAUGUCAGCAUUAAUAUUAAAUUA